UCCGUAGGUGAACCUGCGGAAGGAUCAUUAUUGAAAAACUUUGUAGGUUGUGGUUGAGCUGGCCUCCUUUGAGGCAUGUGCUUGCUAUUGGCCUUCAAAAAAUCUUCAUCCCACCUGUGCACACUUUGUAGGAAGGAAAGAUUCCAAGUAAAGGAACUCAUGGCCUGGUUAGCUCUGGGCCUGUUGCUUGAAGGGGGUUUUUUCUAUCCUAUGUUUUUACACACACAAUUUGAAUGUUUAGAAUGUCGUUAUUUUUGAAGAGUGUAACAACUCUUUUAAAAACAUAAUACAACUUUCAGCAACGGAUCUCUUGGCUCCCGCAUCGAUGAAGAACGCAGCGAAAUGCGAUAAGUAAUGUGAAUUGCAGAAUUCAGUGAAUCAUCGAAUCUUUGAACGCACCUUGCGCCUCUUGGUAUUCCGAGAGGCAUGCCUGUUUGAGUGUCAUUAAAUUCUCAACUUCAAUAGUUUUUUUAUAACUUGUUGAAGCUUGGAUGUGGAGGUUUCUGCUGGCUUUCAUUAGUCGGCUCCUCUUAAAUGUAUUAGUGGAGACUGUUUGUGGUCCACAAAUUAGUGUGAUAAUUAUCUACGCUAUUUAUGGUACUGCACGCUUCGUAGUGUUUCGAUUGGGAAGCUGCAUGAAUUAGUGCUCUUUCUGCUUCAAUGAACCUGCAAACGUGAAGUCAUUCCGCUUCUAACCGUCUUCUUGCAAGACAAUUUCUUGACUUUUUGACCUCAAAUCAGGUAGGACUACCCGCUGAACUUAAGCAUAUCAAUAAGCGGAGGA
rnacentral:rRNA from 1 species